rnacentral:rRNA from 1 species
UACGUAGGGUGCGAGCGUUGUCCGGAAUUAUUGGGCGUAAAGAGCUCGUAGGCGGCCUGUCGCGUCGGAUGUGAAAGCCCGGGGCUUAACCCCGGGUCUGCAUUCGAUACGGGCAGGCUAGAGUGUGGUAGGGGAGAUCGGAAUUCCUGGUGUAGCGGUGAAAUGCGCAGAUAUCAGGAGGAACACCCGUGGCGAAAGCGGCUCUCUGGGACGGUACUGACGCUGAGACGCGAAAGCGUGGGGAGCAAACAGG